GGGGCGGUAGCUCAGCUGGGAGAGCGCCACGUUCGCAUCGUGGAGGUCAGGGGUUCGAUCCCCCUCCGCUCCACCA
rnacentral:tRNA from 29 species